AGUUGCCCUAAGAACCCCAUUUAAAAAUUAGGAAUGCGGUGCCCCAUUAACUCUACAGCACAUGCAAUAUGUGAAAUGCUUUACAAAUGCCAGUCGUCUGGGACAUCACUGAAUCGGGCUAAAAGAUCCCAGCCAGCCCAACAGCCCCGUGUUCAGUAACCCGCUGUGUUUUCUGUUGUGGAUAUAUACUUAGACUAGCUCCCAGCUCCCUGUGGUAAUUAAUGAUGCAGUAAAGUAUUCAAAUACAUAGCCAUCCACUUCUCAAAGUAAAACUCCGCUGUCGGUUUUACCAAGUAGAGAAUAACGCUCCUAGUCACAUAUAACAUGUCAAAAGGCAUUUAACUCUUUGCCCAUUUAUAUGUUUGCGGAAGCUUCAUCCCGAGAUCUGAAAAUCCUGCUACCUGCCAGAUAGUUGCUUCGAAGCACCCGUCACUAUUUCGUCUGUCCAGUUGACAGCACUUCAGAGCGAGGAGUCGAAAGUGAUAUGCCAUCAACGUUUAGCUCCACACCAGCCAGGAGCCGUGAGACGCCUUCAGCUCCACCCCCAAUGAAAAUUGCAGAGUCAAGGACAUGAACGGCACAGCUGAGGUUUCUCUCGGGCAGUGACAUUGGGCUAACUCUUGCCAUUGUGUUCGGCAACUGGAGAUUGGAGAAUUAAUUGCACAGCUAAAGUACUGUACUCCAUUGGCUGCCAAGAACGCUUGAUAUAAUAACAGGUUAUAGUUAACUCAGUAAUAUUCGGGAAGAACGCUUAACCUUUGGCAUGGCAUAAGAACUAUUUUCUUCUGCUGAUCACCUCAUCACUUUUCCUCUUUGGACAUAGACGCUUGCAGUCCUGACGCUCGCUGGAAUAAAGUGCCUCACUAACAUAUGGCACUGCAACGACAUUUCCAGGGUGACAGAUUGGCUUUCAGCCUAGAUUCUGAGACGUUGCAGACUUAAUUACCAUGGCACUAUGAAGUUACUGCGGGUUUAGAGGUAGGAAGCGCACUACGGUAUUCACGGACAUGAAAGAUUACCACCCUGACAACUGUACCUGUGGUUUAUUAAAAGUGUUUGGGCUCUUUUUGGGAAUGAACUUGCAGCCAAAAACGUACAACAAAUUCCGUCUAGCGGUUAUAUGGCGAUUUCUAUUAUGCUUCAGCACUGUGAAGGGCCAUUAAUUCACUUUGAAGACGGAAAAUUAACUUACGUCAGUGCAUUUGGAUCGCUUCACACAAAAGCCGUUUUGGGUCUUUCUAACUCAAAAAGCUAUGACGAAAAUAAUGGAGGUUUCUUCUCACUUCAUUUCCUCUGAGCUUUAUUUCUGGCAUGAUCGUUUUCUUAUUAAAAAAACAUCGUGUUUUUAUGGUUUCACAGAUUAUCCAUGGAAACAAUGAAAGGAAUUGUUUCUCAACGAGUCGCAUUUUAAACAAAACAUGAUCGCUAUGCGUGAAGCCAAUUGUGAAACUCUGAUUAAUUAUGUUACUGAAUAAUUAUAUGCGUACUGAAUAAACAUUAAAUAAAUAAAAAUAAAUA